GAUGAACGCUGGCGGCGUGCCUAAUACAUGCAAGUCGAGCGAACGGACGCGGCGCUUGCUUUUCUGAUGUUAGCGGCGGACGUGUGAGUAACACGUGGAUAACCUACCUAUAAGACUGGGAUAACUUCGGGAAACCGGCGCUAAUCCCGGAUAAUCUUUUGAACCGCAUGGUUCAAAAGUGAAAGACGGUCUUGCUGUCACUUAUAGAUGGAUCCGCGCUGCAUUAGCUAGUUGGUAAGGUAACGGCUUACCAAGGCAACGAUGCAUAGCCGACCUGAGAGGGUGAUCGGCCACACUGGAACUGAGACACGGUCCAGACUCCUACGGGAGGCAGCAGUAGGGAAUCUGCCGCAAUGGGCGAAAGCCUGACGGAGCAACGCCGCGUGAGUGAUGAAGGUCUUCGGAUCGGAAAACUCUGUUAUUAGGGAAGAACAGAUGUGUAAGUAACUGUGCACAUCUUGACGGUACCUAAUCAGAAAGCCACGGCUAACUACGUG
rnacentral:rRNA from 1 species